GACGAACGCUGGCGGCGUGCUUAACACAUGCAAGUCGAACGGAAAGGCCCUGCUUUUGUGGGGUGCUCGAGUGGCGAACGGGUGAGUAACACGUGAGUAACCUGCCCUUGACUUUGGGAUAACUUCAGGAAACUGGGGCUAAUACCGGAUAGGAGCUCCUGCUGCAUGGUGGGGGUUGGAAAGUUUCGGCGGUUGGGGAUGGACUCGCGGCUUAUCAGCUUGUUGGUGGGGUAGUGGCUUACCAAGGCUUUGACGGGUAGCCGGCCUGAGAGGGUGACCGGCCACAUUGGGACUGAAAUACGGCCCAGACUCCUACGGGAGGCAGCAGUGAGGAAUAUUGCACUAUGGGCGGAAGCCUGAUGCAGCAACGCCGCGUGCGGGAUGACGGCCUUCGGGUUGUAAACCGCUUUCGCCUGUGACGAAGCGUGAGUGACGGUAAUGGGUAAAGAAGCACCGGCUAACUACGUG
rnacentral:rRNA from 1 species